rnacentral:rRNA from 1 species
UACAGAGGUCUCAAGCGUUGUUCGGAUUCAUUGGGCGUAAAGGGUGUGUAGGUGGCGCGCUAAGUCGGGUGUGAAAUUUCGGAGCUUAACUCCGAAACUGCAUUCGAUACUGCUUUGCUUGAGGACUGGAGAGGAGAUUGGAAUUCACGGUGUAGCAGUGAAAUGCGUAGAUAUCGUGAGGAAGACCAGUGGCGAAGGCGGGUCUCUGGACAGUUCCUGACGCUGAGGCACGAAGGUCAGGGGAGCAAACGGG